AUGUCCUAGAAGGGGACUAUAGAAUCGUGGUGACUUCCUUUCCCCUCCUGUUCCCUUCUCAGACAUAAAGUAUCUCUCUUCUGCAUCAUGAACCUGAUGUCAGGAUGAUCUGCUCAAGCCUAUGAUACAAAGUAGCAACAAACUGAACCCUCUGAAGCUAUGAGCCAAGAUCCACAGGGUCCUAAGAAGGGUCUUUGGAAAGAUGCAUGGUUACUCUUUGUUACUCUAUCUGGCCAAAUUCAGAGAUGGAGAAAGAAACAACAAGCCUUGGAGAGCAGAACAACAGAAGCACGUGGACAUCCCAUGCAUUCCCAGAGUUAGUAGUAAUUCACGGGUUAGACAGUCUUCUACACUGGCACAUCGAAUGUGACCCUUCCAACGCCAGGUAGAAACACAAUUCCCCAGGUAGGGAUAUUAAGAUGGCAGAUCCUGAGAAGGGCUCUGCUUUGUGAAAGGGAACAUUAUCCUUGUGAAAGGGAAGGCUGCUUACCCUUUCUCCUCCUACCAUAUGAGUGAGGUACCACCUUAGAAUCCAAAAGCAGCCCUCACCAGACAACAGCAUUGAUACCUUGGUAUGGGAUUUGCCAUCCUCCAGUAUAAUCAUUUAAUUUGUUUGUUAUAAAUGAGCAGUCUUGUGUAUUUUUAAAAGCUACAUAAAAG
rnacentral:lncRNA from 1 species